rnacentral:lncRNA from 1 species
GGUGGUAAAAGUUCUGUAGAAGCCUAACCGAAAUUUUGGUUCGGUUUUUGGUUUAUAUAUACCGUAUUCGUUCUGCACUCAAACAAUACACAAAAUGAGAACAUUCUUUCGCAUUUCAACAGAGAUUUUCUAGAAAUUUCGACAACAUGUCGACCCAAACUAAGUUUAUCACACAGGCAAACAUCACCACCAUACAUCACGGAGCAAGGAGAUCGGAGAGGCGCCGGCGGCAGGAGGCUGACAGCGGCAGGUAGGUGCUGCGGUUGUCGAGGACAGGCUUGCGAGGCCGAGGUCGACGGUGGUAGGGGAUGCGCAUGCGCCUGUGGGGUCGCCGACAGGUAGUCGCGACCAAUGGAGGUGCGUCUAGCGCCCUGGCAGCCGGCGGCGCCGAGAAAGGGAGAUGAGAGGUUGGGAGGAACGAGAGAAGGGGGUCAGGGCCGUC